rnacentral:rRNA from 2 species
AUAUGGUCAAGUGAAGAAGCGCAUACGGUGGAUGCCUUGGCAGUCAGAGGCGAUGAAAGACGUGGUAGCCUGCGAAAAGCUUCGGGGAGUCGGCAAACAGACUGUGAUCCGGAGAUGUCUGAAUGGGGGAACCCAGCCAUCAUAAGAUGGUUAUCUUGUACUGAAUACAUAGGUGCAAGAGGCGAACCAGGGGAACUGAAACAUCUAAGUACCCUGAGGAAAAGAAAUCAACCGAGAUUCCCUUAGUAGUGGCGAGCGAACGGGGACUAGCCCUUAAGCUUCUUUGAUUUUAGCGGAACGCUCUGGAAAGUGCGGCCAUAGUGGGUGAUAGCCCUGUACGCGAAAGGAUCUUAGAAGUGAAAUCGAGUAGGACGGAGCACGAGAAACUUUGUCUGAAUAUGGGGGGACCAUCCUCCAAGGCUAAAUACUACUGACUGACCGAUAGUGAACUAGUACCGUGAGGGAAAGGCGAAAAGAACCCCGGAGAGGGGAGUGAAAUAGAUCCUGAAACCGUAUGCGUACAAGCAGUGGGAGCCCACUUUGUUGGGUGACUGCGUACCUUUUGUAUAAUGGGUCAGCGACUUAUUUUCAGUGGCGAGCUUAACCGAAUAGGGGAGGCGUAGCGAAAGCGAGUCUUAAUAGGGCGUCUAGUCGCUGGGAAUAGACCCGAAACCGGGCGAUCUAUCCAUGGGCAGGUUGAAGGUUAGGUAACACUGACUGGAGGACCGAACCGACUACCGUUGAAAAGUUAGCGGAUGACCUGUGGAUCGGAGUGAAAGGCUAAUCAAGCUCGGAGAUAGCUGGUUCUCCUCGAAAGCUAUUUAGGUAGCGCCUCAUGUAUCACUGUAGGGGGUAGAGCACUGUUUCGGCUAGGGGGUCAUCCCGACUUACCAAACCGAUGCAAACUCCGAAUACCUACAAGUGCCGAGCAUGGGAGACACACGGCGGGUGCUAACGUCCGUCGUGAAAAGGGAAACAACCCAGACCGUCAGCUAAGGUCCCAAAGUUAUGGUUAAGUGGGAAACGAUGUGGGAAGGCUUAGACAGCUAGGAGGUUGGCUUAGAAGCAGCCACCCUUUAAAGAAAGCGUAAUAGCUCACUAGUCGAGUCGGCCUGCGCGGAAGAUGUAACGGGGCUCAAACCAUACACCGAAGCUACGGGUAUCACGUAAGUGAUGCGGUAGAGGAGCGUUCUGUAAGCCUGUGAAGGUGAGUUGAGAAGCUUGCUGGAGGUAUCAGAAGUGCGAAUGCUGACAUGAGUAACGACAAUGGGUGUGAAAAACACCCACGCCGAAAGACCAAGGUUUCCUGCGCAACGUUAAUCGACGCAGGGUUAGUCGGUCCCUAAGGCGAGGCUGAAAAGCGUAGUCGAUGGAAAACAGGUUAAUAUUCCUGUACUUCUGGUUAUUGCGAUGGAGGGACGGAGAAGGCUAGGCCAGCUUGGCGUUGGUUGUCCAAGUUUAAGGUGGUAGGCUG